AAUCCGUCGAUUUCAAAAAUCAUGAGGGUUCAAGUCCC
rnacentral:tRNA from 2 species